UACGAAGGGGGCUAGCGUUGCUCGGAAUCACUGGGCGUAAAGGGUGCGUAGGCGGGUCUUUAAGUCAGGGGUGAAAUCCUGGAGCUCAACUCCAGAACUGCCUUUGAUACUGAGGAUCUUGAGUUCGGGAGAGGUGAGUGGAACUGCGAGGGUAGAGGUGAAAUUCGUAGAUAUUCGCAAGAACACCAGUGGCGAAGGCGGCUCACUGGCCCGAUACUGACGCUGAGGCACGAAAGCGUGGGGAGCAAACAGG
rnacentral:rRNA from 1 species